rnacentral:lncRNA from 1 species
GUCUGAUGAAUCUUUUCCACUGAACUUUCCCUGCACAGCUCACUGUGUCAGGCUGUAGGCGUCUGUGUCUGUGUCAGCGAUGAACUGUGGAAAAGAAACUGUGUUUAGCUCUGGGUGAUUUAGAGGCUAGAGUGCCUUCUCUUACCAGCUUCAUGUUUAGCCUGCAUCCUAAAAAUACGUUACUAUCCUGUUAUUCAAUGAAUCAGUAAUGCUGUAAAGCCUGGUAUGAUCACAGCCUCAGAUAUAAUCACUAAAGCACAAUAGUAAAAUCACAUUUCUUUCACAGGAGUGGAGACCACCUGUAACGCUACACAAAAUGUGUCCUAUUAUGGGACUCUGGGACAGCCUUUGUACCUACCGCUGAUGACAAACACCACAGAAUAUGAUAUGAAUUUGUUAAGAGAAACCAGUGAUGGUAAAGGGGUGGAGAUGCUUCGAGUAAAAGCAGGCAAGAUAUCAUUUUACAGUAACCCCUACUCCUCAUCAAUCCGCCAGAGAGUGUAUUCUAUUUCAGACAAUGGGACCUUGAUUAUAAACCCUGUGGAGAGAAAUGAUUCAGGAAUGUAUAGAGUACAGAUCAACAAUAGGACAACGGGCAUCAAGGUGGCAGAAAACAUACUGCAGCUGAUAAUAAACGAGACCCACAUGACUCCCACCAUCUCCAUCCCCAUCUCCAACACCAAACACCCCCCUCAACAUAAUGACACACGGCUAGUGUCGAAUGGAACUUGGAAAAUUCCCAACAUCAUGGUAGUAUCAGGAUCUUCUGCAGCCUUCUUUCUGUGUUUGACUGUGUCAGGAGGAAUAUUCUACAUCUGCAAAAGAAGAAAGAACACCUACAGGGCGGCAGAGCCUGAAGAGUUAGUGUAUGCUGACGUGUCCAUACUAAAAAGACAGAAGAAGCGGUCAGAGCUGAAGGACACGGGGGAGGAGAAGGUGG